ACACGGGGAGAACGUGCAAACUCCACACAGUCAGUCGCCUGAGGUGGGAAUUGAACCCGGGUCUCUGGCGCUGUGAGGCAGCAGUGCUAACCACUGUGCCACCGAGUCUUAACAUUUUGGGUGCUAACUACAAAGGUUAUAACAAUAAGCAAUCCAUAAUUAUUUUAAUUGCAUAAAAUAUAGAAACUAUUAUUUACAGUGUAAGUGACAUUGAUUCAGGACACAAUAAUAGUAUCUGUGAUGUCCUGCAGUUGCACAUUCUGCUAAAAUUCACUCAGUGACAUCAUAGGUUAAGUACCAAAGGACUUCAUUUGCCUAGGGAAUAAUUUCAGAAAUUACAAUUUUGUAAAGGGAAGUGAAGAAUGCCAAAUGUUAUGCCCUGGUUUAUAUUACAAUGUAAGUUUCUGUUCAAUAAUACAUUACAUCUAAAACUUGUGGAAAUCUUACUGUAGUAGUACUGUUGAUAUAUAUCAUUGUAAAUUACUUGCACAGAUAAGAAUUAUUUGUUGAAGAGCCAUUGUGUGUUGUUAAAUGUUGUGUAACAAUGUUCAUGGCCACUACCAGUAGACUACAGAUAAGUAUAUUAAGCAGACAAAAAGUGUCAGUCCUGGUAACUAC